rnacentral:rRNA from 1 species
UUAGGAAUAUUCGUCAAUGGGGGAAACCCUGGGCGAGCAAUGCCGCGUGAGUGAUGACGGUCUUUUAGAUUGUAAAACUCUGUUGUUUGGGAAGAACGACCAAAGCAGGAAAUGGCUUUGGAGUGACUGUACCAUUCGAGAAAGCCCCGGCUAACUACGUGCCAGCAGCCGCGGUAAUACGUAGUGGGCGAGCGUUGUCCGGAUUUAUUGGGCGUAAAGCGUGCGUAGGCUGCUUGUUAAGUCUAAGGUUAAAGUCUGAAGCUCAACUUCAGUUCGCCUUAGAAACUGGCAGGCUUGAGUACAGUAGAGGCAAGUGGAAUUUCUAGUGUAGAGGUAAAAUGCGUAGAUAUUAGAAGGAACACCAGUGGCGAAGGCGACUUGCUGGACUGUUACUGACGCUGAGGCACGAAAGCGUGGGGAGCGAAUAG